AUCUCAUCAUAGAUGGUUGUGAACCACCAUCAUAUGGUUGCUGGGAAUUGAAUUCAGGACCUCUGGAAGAACAGCCUCUUAACAUCUGAGCCAUCUCUCCAGCACCCAAGAGCUGUGCUAAUCUUCCUGCUUAUGUUCCAUGAAGACUUGAAAGGACUUCUCCUCACAAUCAGCGGCCCGAGAUCAGCUUUGGAGUCUUUCAGUUUCUUCUAUGAUUUUUCUCUAAGUGCGGUCUGAUCUAUACACCCCAGGAUUAAUGGAGAGUCACUCCCAGUCACAGAAGCAACUUGCUAAUCUCCCCUCCACCCUGCGCCUUGCUUUAAGGACACUGCUCAAUGCUGG